rnacentral:rRNA from 1 species
UGGGGAAUAUUGGGCAAUGGGGGAAACCCUGACCCAGCAACGCCGCGUGAAGGAAGAAGGCUUUCGGGUUGUAAACUUCUUUUACCAGGGACGAAGGACGUGACGGUACCUGGAGAAAAAGCCACGGCUAACUACGUGCCAGCAGCCGCGGUAAUACGUAGGUGGCAAGCGUUGUCCGGAUUUACUGGGUGUAAAGGGCGUGUAGGCGGAGAAGCAAGUCAGAAGUGAAAUCCAUGGGCUUAACCCAUGAACUGCUUUUGAAACUGUUUCCCUUGAGUAUCGGAGAGGCAGGCGGAAUUCCUAGUGUAGCGGUGAAUGCGUAGAUAUUAGGAGGAACACCAGUGGCGAAGGCGGCCUGCUGGACGACAACUGACGCUGAGGCGCGAAAGCGUGGGGAGCAAACAGG